rnacentral:rRNA from 1 species
AACGUAGGAGGCAAGCGUUAUCCGGAUUCACUGGGUUUAAAGGGUGCGUAGGCGGGUAUGUAAGUCAGCGGUGAAAUCCCCGAGCUUAACUUGGGAACUGCCGUUGAUACUAUAUAUCUUGAAUGUCGUGGAGGUUAGCGGAAUAUGUCAUGUAGCGGUGAAAUGCUUAGAUAUGACAUAGAACACCCAUUGCGAAGGCAGCUAACUACGCGAAUAUUGACGCUGAGGCACGAAAGCGUGGGGAUCAAACAGG